rnacentral:rRNA from 1 species
AGAGUUUGAUCCUGGCUCAGAUUGAACGCUGGCGGCGUGCCUAACACAUGCAAGUCGAGCGGUAGCAGGCGUAGCAAUACGUGCUGACGAGCGGCGAACGGGUGAGCAAUGCUUCGGAAUCUGCCCAAUGGUGGGGAAUAACCAGCCGAAAGGUUGGCUAAUACCGCAUACGCCCUACGGGGGAAAGCAGGGGAUCGCAAGACCUUGCGCCGAUGGAUGAGCCGAAGUCGGAUUAGCUAGUUGGUAGGGUAACGGCCUACCAAGGCGACGAUCCGUAGCUGGUCUGAGAGGACGACCAGCCACACUGGGACUGAGACACGGCCCAGGCUCCUACGGGAGGCAGCAGUGGGGAAUAUUGGACAAUGGGCGAAAGCCUGAUCCAGCGACGCCGCGUGUGUGAAGAAGGCCUGCGGGUUGUAAAGCACUUUUAGUGGGGAUGAAAAGCCUAGAGCUAAUACCUCUGGGUCUUGACCUAACCCACAGAAAAAGCACCGGCUAACUCUGUGCCAGCAGCCGCGGUAAUACAGAGGGUGCGAGCGUUAAUCGGAAUUACUGGGCGUAAAGCGUGCGUAGACGGUUAUUUAAGUCGGGUGUGAAAGCCCCGGGC